AAGUCGUAACAAGGUUUCCGUAGGUGAACCUGCGGAAGGAUCAUUAACACGUAUCCAACGUUAAAACAACCCUGUGAACCUUUAUACGGAUUCUCCUGAACCAUGAAAGCAGCAAUCCCUGGUAAAUCAUUGUUGAACAGAUUUUGAGUCAGGGACCUCUGCCUAUGAGAAAUACAGUCGGGAUCGAGUCCUUGUAGCAAGUGGCCUGGCAUCUCCAAGCAAUCAGUGUCUGAAAGUGUCAUUGGUUGUGUAAAGAUGGCGCAGUAAACGAUCGUUGGAGGCCGACACGGCCGACGACCGGGUCACCGGGUCCCCACGCCCCUUACAUCACCCCACAGUAUCCGACUGGGCAGCCGAUAAUGACGGACGCCGUUUAAAAACUUGAACAACUGUUAACAAUGGAUAUCUUGGUUCUC
rnacentral:misc_RNA from 1 species